GCCACGGUGGUCUAGCGGUUAGAACGCUGGCCUUGUAAUCCUGGAGUCUCGGGUUCGAUUCCCAGCGGUGCCC
rfam:Zootermopsis nevadensis contig25660, whole genome shotgun sequence.